UUCCAUAUUAUAGUAUUAAUGUAUGGACUUUUUCAUAUUGGCCCUGUAACAUGCCCAAGGUGUUAAUAAUGGCCAAGGAUGGUUGUAAUGGCCCUGAGGCAACGCCGAGGGCCAUUACAACUGUCCGAGGCCAUUAUUAAUAUCAAGGGCAUGUUACAGGGCCAAUAUGAAAAAGUCCAUAUAUUGAUACUUUUAUUAACCAACUAUAAAGGCAACUUCAUUCAAGAACAGUCUUCGAGUCUCGGAUCCAAAAUUAUACAGCUAUCAACAAACUACAACAGGACCAAUACAGAAAAGCCCGUUUCAUAAAAUUUUGAUUAAAUGGUUUUAUUCUUCGAUUAAACAAAGAGUAAAAAACUUACCGUGAAGAAGAUACAGGAAUUUCAUAGCUGAACUUCAACUUGUCUUUUCGCAUUCAAUUUCGCAUGGAAUUUUAGUCAACAUUGUGACUGUCAGAUGUAAUUUCUGAUUUCUCAUCCAAGUACUUAAUUUUAUGCUAUUAAAAUUCAUUUCAUCUAGCAAAUAAAAAGUAGCUGGGAAGAAUUAAUCAGACAGUAAAGUCUGCAUUCUGAGGAUUGAACAACGGAAAUGAAACAGUGAUAAUAAUCGAAAAUCGUUCUCGAAAAAGGCUGUGAAAUAUUUCCGUUUCAAGUCGUUACAAAACAAUGUUAAUGAACAUCAUUUAUUAAACUUAUUUUUAUGAUAUUAAGUUUAAAAAAGAAUAAAAAAAAUGUCACACUUAUUUACAGAAAUAAACGACAUUUUGUUUUAAUCGAUGUCCCGUUUCAACUGUUCAUAAUGCAUGACUGUGAUUUCGUAAUGCACGGGUGUGGUUUCGUAAUGCAUGACUGAGAUUUCGUAAUGCAUGACUGAGAUCUCGUAAUGACUGGCUGUAGCAAUUUCUCCGUUCAUAAUGACCAGAUGUCGAAAUGUUCCUUUUAUAAAGCAUGGGCAUUUCUAUACAUAUUGUAGUAAGUUGGUUAAUAAUAGAUUAUAAUUUAAU
rnacentral:lncRNA from 1 species